AUGUCACCAGACAGGGAUAUUGUUGUGGCGGUAGAGCUAGUGGUAGUGGUAGAGCUAGUGGUGGUGGUAGAGCUAGUAGAGCUAGUGGUGGUAGAGCCUGUGGUGGGGGUACAGCUAGUGGUAGAGCUAGUGGUGGUGGUAGAGCUAUUGGUGAUGGUAGAGCUAGUAGAGCUAGUGGUGCUGGUAGAUCUAAUGAUGGUGGUAGAGCUAGUAGAGCUAGUGGUGGUGGUGGAGUUAGUGGUGUUCACAGCAACACACCUCAGUAAUAUGAACCUAGAGCAGAUGUCACCAAACAGGGACAUUGUGGUGGCGGAAGAGCUAGAGUUGGUGCAGGUAGAGCUAGUGGUGGUGGGAGAGCUAGUAGUGGUGGUGGGAGAGCUGGUGGUGGUGGCGGUAGAGCUAGUGGUGGUGGCAGUAGAGCUAGUGGUGGUGGUAGAGCUAGUGGUGGUGGAGGUAGAGCUAGUUGUGGUAGAGCUAGUGGUGGUAGAGCUGGUAGAGCAAGUGGUGGUGGUAAAGCUGGUACAGCAAGUGGNNNNNNNNNNCUGUGGUGGGGGUACAGCUAGUGGUAGAGCUAGUGGUGGUGGUAGAGCUAUUGGUGAUGGUAGAGCUAGUAGAGCUAGUGGUGCUGGUAGAUCUAAUGAUGGUGGUAGAGCUAGUAGAGCUAGUGGUGGUGGUGGAGUUAGUGGUGUUCACAGCAACACACCUCAGUAAUAUGAACCUAGAGCAGAUGUCACCAAACAGGGACAUUGUGGUGGCGGAAGAGCUAGAGUUGGUGCAGGUAGAGCUAGUGGUGGUGGGAGAGCUAGUAGUGGUGGUGGGAGAGCUGGUGGUGGUGGCGGUAGAGCUAGUGGUGGUGGCAGUAGAGCUAGUGGUGGUGGUAGAGCUAGUGGUGGUGGAGGUAGAGCUAGUUGUGGUAGAGCUAGUGGUGGUAGAGCUGGUAGAGCAAGUGGUGGUGGUAAAGCUGGUACAGCAAGUGGUGGUGGUUUCUACCUUCUUAACAACACUGUCAACAAGGUAGGUCCUACAGGCUCUAGUUUCUACCUUCUUAACAGCACUAUCAAAACAGGAAUGUCAGUGUUCUGCCAUGGCCAGCGAACAGCCCGGAUCUCAAUCCCGUUGAGCAAGUCUGGGACCUGUUGGAUCUGAGGGUGAAGGCUAGGGCCAUUCCCCCCAGAAAUGUCUGGGAACUUGCAGGUGCCUUGGUGGAAGAGUGGGGUAACAUUUCACAGCAAAGAACUGGCAAAUUUGGUGCAGUCCACGCAGAGGAGAUGCACUGCAGUUCUUAAUGCAGCUGGUGGCCACACCAGAUACUGACUGUCACUUUUGAUUUUGACCUCCCCCGUUGUUCAGGGACACAUUAUCCAAUUUCUGUUAGUCACAUGUCUGUGGAAGUUUAUGUCUCAGUUGUUGAAUCUUGUUAAUAUUUACACAUUUUAAGUUUGCUGAAAAUAAACACAGUUGACAGUGAGAGGACAGUUCUUAUUUUGCUGAGUAUAUAUAUUGUAGUUACUCCACAAUACUAACCUAAAUGACAAAUUGAAAAAGGAAGCCUGUACAGAAUACAAAUAUUCCAAAACAUGCAUCCUGUUUGCAAUAAGGCACUAAAGUAAAACUGCUAAAAUGUGUCAAAGAAAAUAUACUUAAUGUCCUGAAUUCAAAGCGUUAUGUUUCUGGCAAAUCCAACAACACAGAGUACGACACUUAUAUUUUCAAGCAUGGUGGUGGCUGAAUCAUGUUAUGGGUAUGCUUGCCUUUGGCAGGGAGUUUUAUUUGUAAAAAUACAUGGAAUAGGGCUAAGCACAGGUAAAAUAGUUUAGGAAUACAUGGUUCAGUCUGCUUUCCAACAAACACUGGGAGAUGAAUUUAGAUUUCAGCAGGACAAUAACCUAAAACACAAGGAGUUGCUUAAUAAAACGACAUUGAAUGUUCCUAUGGGGCCUACAGUUUUGACAAAUUGAUUUGAAAAUGACUGUCUAGUAAUGAUCAACAACCAACUUGACAGAGCUUGAAGAAUUUAAAAAAUAAUCAUGUGCAAAUAUCAGAAAGACUCACUGUUGUAAUCUCUGCCAAAGGUGAUUCUAAUAUGUAUUGACUCAGGGUGUGAAUACUUAUGUAAAAUAGCUAUUUAUCUAUUUCAUUUUCAAUAAAUAUGCAAACAAUUCUCAAAACAUGUUUUCACUGUCAUUAUGGAGGAUUUUGUGUAGAUGGGUGAGAAAAAUAUAUUUAAUCCAUUUUGAAUUCAGGCUGUAACAACAAAAUGUGGAUUAGGUCAAGGGCUAUGAAUACUUUAUGAAGGCACUGUAGCUCCUUUAACACACACAGUACAGACACACAGUAAGGUUAAACACAUCAACAGAGGACCCAUGGCAAUAAUGAUCUUUAAUGGCAAUAUAUACAGAACUUGAAAGAAAAAUAUAAUUUUAUAAAUGAAAUAAAUACAAUAUGGUACAAUUUCCACAAUGUCUUAAAGAGUCAUGGAAAUGAUCUGUUUUGUAAUUCAGCUUCUCUGUAAGUCUCUUCCCACAGACAGACACUCUCCUUCCCACGUCUCACCCCCCUCACAGAAAUAACCCAACAGUACCACCAUCAUCUCCUUCUCAUUGACCAGUUGUUGUUUUUAUGCACAGGAUGCUUGUUUGCUUUUCUACAGUCACGGUCACAGUCACAGUCAGGGAUCAGACAGAGUCUACCUUCACGAUCACAGUCAGGGAUCAGACAGUCUACCUUCACGGUCACAGUCAGGGAUCAGACAGAGUCUACCUUCACGAUCACAGUCAGGGAUCAGACAGUCUACCUUCACGAUCACAGUCAGGGAUCAGACAGAGUCUACCUUCACGAUCACAGUCAGGGAUCAGACAGAGUCUACCUUCACGAUCACAGUCAGGGAUCAGACAGAGUCUACCUUCACGAUCACAGUCAGGGAUCAGACAGAGUCUAUCUUCAUGAUCAUCACAGUUACAGUUAGGGAUCAGACAGACAAAUCGGUUGAGACAAAGAGGAAGUGUGUGUGUCAGAACAGAGAGUUGGCAGGCUUUUUUGAUGCUGGAGUACUGUAUGCAGUCAGCCUACAGAGGAGAGGGAGACAGAGAGAGAGGAGAGAGUGAGACAGAGAGAGAAUACGGGAGGGAGAGAGAGGAGAGACAGAGAGAGAAUAUGGGAGGGAUAGAGAGAGAGACAGAGAGAGAGGGAGACGGAGAGAGAG
rnacentral:lncRNA from 13 species